AAUAAAUAACAGAAUAAGUCGAGUAGAGUGGCUUUCACUGGGAAAAUAUACAAUUAGAUUUGUUAACCUACUUUUUAAUGCACUGAUUAUGCCUUAAUUAGUUUAAUUAAGAAUCUUGCCAAGAUGGGAAAUUAGCGCCGUUCGUUCAAAAAUAGAAAGUCGGUAACUAAGCGCUCUAUUUCAAAAACGUGCGUCUUAUGACAUUUUGGCAAAUCGAAACGGGGCCAAAAAUCUUAAUUGCAAUUCCGUUUCGAUGAAGGUGAGCGAGUUUUCUAACCGUGUCAUUAAAGCGUAGGUGGUCCCCGCGGAACUGUAAUUGUCGACUUUUUAUCAAAUUUCUGGGCGAGAUAACGCAAAAACCGUAAACAAACCGAGUCAUAGGAAUGGCAACAAGUUGGUCACCUACACCGUUAAUGCCAAACCACAUAAAUAGACCUCGCUAAAAAUAAACUUUCGGCACAACGAAGAAGAUCACGAUAUAAAUACGUUGGGGCCACGUAAAAAAUAUAAUCGGCAGGAACAAUCUACAGGAAAAAUGCAGCUUCGUUCGUCCGAAUGAGAGUGAGUCACAAAGUGACAAAAAAGAGUCGAUCAAAAAAGGGUCCUACCAUCAGAGCAACUGCAACUUGCGAAAAGUGUUCUUCUCUUCCCAAAAAUAAAAACCGGGGCGAAGGCAAAUGUUUUCACACCAUUCCCCGUAUUGAGAGAGCCAAUGGCAGUGCAGUUAAAAGUCAUCAAAAGACAUCCAAGCAUUGGAUAAACGCAGCGCUAGUCAAGAAGUUCUUUAAAAGAGAUCAAAUAAGAUUGAAUGUAUACUAUUACAUGUAUUAUUAUUUUUUAUCGAAAUAAAAAAUGUGGUAUUGU